AAAAAAAUCCUGAGAUGACUUGUGAGUAGGAGCGAAAGACUAAUCAAACCCCGUGAUAGCUGGUUCUCUUCGAAAUCGCUUGAGGGCGAGUGUUGUGAAAGUACCCGUCAGAGGUAGAGCACUGAAUGGCUUAGGGGCCCCACCAGGCUGCCAAAACCAAUCAAACUCCGAAUUCUGACGGUCUCAGUAUCACAGCAAUCAGGCAGUGGGGGAUAAGCUCCAUUGCCGAGAGGGUAACAGCCCAGACCGCCGGCUAAGGUGCCUAAAUACAGUUAAGUGGAAAGGAUGUGACGUUGCUUAAACAGUGAGGAUGUUGGCUUAGAGGCAGCCACCAUUUAAACAGUGCGUAAUAGCUGACUCAUCGAGCGAUGUCGCGCCGAAAAUGAUUGGCGAUUAAAUUGUAUACCGAAGCCGCGGAUGCAUGUUCGGGCGACUGAACAUGCGUGGUAGAAGAGCGUAAUCGAUGCGAUAAAGCCUGACGGUAACGAACGGUGGAGCGUCGAUUAGUGAGAAUGCAGACACGAGUAGCGAUAAACCAAGUGAAAAUCUUGGUCGCCGUAAACCCAAGGUUUCCUGGGCCAGGUUCGUCCUCCCAGGGUUAGCCGGGAGCUAACGCGAGGCCGUAAGGCGUAGCGGAUGCACAGCAGGUUAAAUAUCCCUGCGCCAUCAAGGGUUAAGGCCAAAACACACGCAACGAGAAAACUGACUACCCUAUUGAAUUGGGAGCUUAGGCUUAGGCCAAAGCGUAUCAGCGGACAAGUUGCCGAGAAAAGGUUUUGGUUGUUCUCCUAGAUGCCCGUACCGUAAACCGACACAGGUGGGUGAGUGUAAGUGCACUAAGGCGCGCGAGAGAGACCUCUCUAAGGAACUCGGCACAUUAGCCCCGUAACUUCGGGAAAAGGGGUGCCCAUUUAUGGGCCACAGUAAAUUGCGUUUAGCGACUGUUUAACAAAAACACAGCUCUCUGCUACGUCGUAAGACUAGGUAUAGGGAGUGACAAGUGACCAAUGCGGAAAGAUCAAAGCAUCUUGUUAGCCGUAAGGCGAAGCUCGGUGUCCAAGUCCCCGUGAAUGUCGGCCGUAACUAUAACGGUCCUAAGGUAGCGAAAUUCCUUGUCGGGUAAGUUCCGACCUGCACGAAUCUUGUAACGACUGAACGACUGUCUCGGAGAGGAUCUCGGCGAAACUGUAAUUGCGGUGAAGAUGCCGCAUGCCCGCAGUAGGACGGAAAGACCCUAUGCACCUUUACUGUAAGCUCGUAUUGUGUCUUGAUUAAUGAUGCGUAGCGUAGGUGGGAGACUUUGAAGGGAGUGCUUCGGUGCUCCUGGAGUCGCAAUGUGAAACACCACUCUUUAUUAAUUAGGAUUCUAACCUCGAUCCUGUAAUCCAGGCGGGGGACAGUGCGUGCGGGUCAGUUUGACUGGGGCGGUUUCCUCCCGA
rnacentral:rRNA from 1 species